CAGCAGCCGCGGGAAUACGGAGGGUGCGAGCGUUAAUCGGAUUUACUGGGCGUAAAGCGUGCGUAGGCGGCUUUUUAAGUCGGAUGUGAAAUCCCUGAGCUUAACUUAGGAAUUGCAUUCGAUACUGGGAAGCUAGAGUAUGGGAGAGGAUGGUAGAAUUCCAGGUGUAGCGGUGAAAUGCGUAGAGAUCUGGAGGAAUACCGAUGGCGAAGGCAGCCAUCUGGCCUAAUACUGACGCUGAGGUACGAAAGCAUGGGGAGCAAACAGGAUUAGAUACCCCAGUAGUCCCUGUCUCUUAUAU
rnacentral:rRNA from 1 species